GCAGAGGAGAAAGAGCCACCGCCUGAGCUAGCUGUGGAAAGAGGCAAAACUCUAACUUCAGCUGGUUUUGAGUGAGAAGUGGGUCUCUGUUAAAAUGCUA
ensembl:miRNA